AYGGYGGAGACCUAGGCACCCAGAGACGAAGAAGGGCGCAAAUACCGGCGAAACGCUUCGGGGAGCUGGCAAUGAGCUUUGAUCCGAAGAUCCCCGAAUAGGGCAACCUCUAGCACUACCUCCAUAAUUCAUAGGGAGGCAAGAGAGAACCCGGUGAACUGAAACAUCUAAGUAGCCGGAGGAAAAGAAAGCAAAAGCGAUUCCCUUAGUAGCGGCGAGCGAAAAGGGAACAGCCUAAACCUGAACCUAGUUCAGGGGUCGUGGGAAGACUAAUAUUGUAGUAAUGCAGCCCUGCUAACCUUAAUGAUAAGGCGUGUGCUAUGUCCUUUUUAUACCUUUUACGUUCUUCCUUUGGGCAGGGUGAGGCUGGGCUUCGCGGGCACCAAAGGGAUGGCGCGAUUCUCCGUUGUGCAUGUGUAGGGCGUAGCCUCCUUUGGCUGGNNNNNNNNCCAGUGUUGGUAGCUGGCUUUUAAAAGCCCUGNNUUCGCGCUUCCAACCCUGACAUUAGCACAGGGCUAAAAAAGGACACACCAGCCUUAUCCUUAUAAUACCCCCUUUUUAUAAAGGGCACAGAAGCAGCCCUAUAUAUGAUUAAAAUUCAAAGUUUAAUACGAAGCAGCUGAAACCUGUUACCAUAGAAGGUGAAAGUCCUGUAGUAAAAAAUUCUUUGACUUUAUUUUAUAGUCUAAUCCCGAGUAGCAUGGGGCACGUGAAAUCCCGUGUGAAUCAGCGAGGACCACCUCGUAAGGCUAAAUACUCCUGGGUGACCGAUAGCGAAAUAGUACCGCGAGGGAAGGGUAAAAAGAACCCCCGUUGGGGAGUGAAAUAGAACAUGAAACCGUACGCUGACAAGCAGUGGGAGGGACUGGGUUUUUUAAAACAGCCCUGCUAGUCCUGACCGCGUGCCUGUUGAAGAAUGAGCCGGCGACUUGUAGGAAUUGGCGAGGUUAAGAAUUUCAAUUCGAAGCCGCAGCGAAAGCAAGUAUGAAUAGUGCUAAGUAACUACUCAGUGGUUAACAAAAGUCAUUUCUUACGGACCCGAACCCGGUCGAUCUAACCAUGUCCAGGAUGAAGCUUGGGUAACACUAAGUAGAGGUCCCGACCGACCGAUGUUGAAAAAUCGGCGGAUGAGGUGUGGUUAGGGGUGAAAUACCAAUCGAGAUCGGAGCUAGCUGGAUCUCCCCGAAAUGCGUUGAGGCGCAGCGGUGACGAAGAGCUACGUUGUGGUAAAGCACUGUUUCGAUACGGGCUGCGAAAGUGGUACCAAGUCGUAGCAAACUCUGAAUACAAUGUAUUGACUUUCCGUGAACCAGUGAGUCUAGGGGGGCUAAGCUUCUAAGACAAAAGGGAAACAGCCCAGAUCACCAGCUAAGGCCCCUAAAUGGCCACUAAGUGGAAAAGGAUGUGAGAAUGCAUAAACAACCAGGAGGUUUGCUUAGAAGCAGCAAUCCUUUAAAGAGUUCGUAACAGAACACUGGUAAAGCGUUCUUGCGCCGAAAAUAACCGGGACUAAGUGGCCUGCCGAAGCUGUGAGUUACUGCUAUUUUUUUUUUGGCUGGUUGUGUUUGGCUGGUUAAGGGCUUUUUUCAGCGAAGAGCCGUCCCGUAGGAGACACAUGCCAUGCGUUGUGCCUAGUCUGCGCAGGACCAAAAAAGGGUGUUGUGGCCUUUCUGGGCAUGUGCAGGUGUUGGGCAUGUAUUGCCUACGGACAGAAGCACCAGCCCUACAACACGCACCAGCCCUGGAAAAAAGGACAUAAAACUCGACUUGGCUACGCCCUCACAAGAGCAAAGUGGCACAAAAAUAGCGGUUGCGGUAGGGGAGCGUUCCGUUUUCGGGUGAAGUUUUGCCGAUAGGCAAGGUGGACGACACGGAAGUGAGAAUGUUGGCUUGAGUAACGAAAACAUUGGUGAGAAUCCAAUGCCCCGAAAACCUAAGGGUUCCUCUACAAGGUUCGUCCAUGGGGGGUUAGUCAGGGCCUAAGGCGAGGCCGAAUGGCGUAGUCGAUGGAAAACAGGUUAAUAUUCCUGUACUUAUUUUUGUGGAAACGAGGGACGGAGGAGGCUAAGCUGGAGCUGUUUUUUGGAUUGCAGCGGAAGCGUUCAAGGUGUAGAAAAUUCGAAAAAAAACGAAUAGGUUACGCUAAUGAAAUUUAUGUCGUCCUGAGCGCUCUUGUGCCUUUUGUAAAAAGGGCUAUAAAGCCAAGGGAAGGACAUAGUAAGAUGUGCGCGUCCCUCCGGGAGGCGCAGGUUUUACAAGAAUUUCAAGAGAUAACCAACCCUUAUAGGGCAACCAAGGCGUGAUCCUUUGGUUCGAUUUAGGCGUGAGCCGGAUUUAAUCAAACUAGUUACGUCAAACUUCCAAGAAAAGCUCGGAUUUUGGCUAAGUGUAACAACAAAGCACAACACAAAAAUAACCUGUACCUGAAACCGACACAGGUAGGUUGGUAGAGUAUACCAAGGGGCGCGAGAGAACUCUCUCUAAGGAACUCGGCAAACUGGCCCCGUAACUUCGGAAGAAGGGGCGCUCGUUUAGUUUAUAGUUUAACUAGACUAGACUGAGCCGCAGUGACCAGGCCCAGGCGGCUGUUUAACAAAAACACAGGUCUCCGCAAAGUCGUAAGACAACGUAUGGGGGCUGACGCCUGCCCAGUGCCGGAAGGUUAAGGAAGUUGGUUAAAGAUUUCUUGAAGCUGACGACCGAAGCCCCGGUGAACGGCGGUCGUAACUAUAACGAUCCUAAGGUAGCAAAAUUCCUUGCCAGGUAAGUUCUGGCCUGCACGAAAGGCGUAACGAUCUGGGCGCUGUCUCGGAGAGAGACUCGGUGAAAUAGACUUGUCCGUGAAGAUGCGGACUAAUAUUACCUGGACAGAAAGACCCUAUGAAGCUUGACUGUAUCCUGGAAUUGGGUUUGGGCUUUUCUUGCGCAGUCUAGGUGGGAGGCUAUGAAGACUUCCUUCUGGGGGAGUUGGAGCCGUCAGUGAGAGACCACUCUGGAAGGGCUAGAAUUCUAAUGGUGUUCCUUGAAUCAGGACACUUGACAGUUUCAGGUGGGCAGUUUGACUGGGGCGGUCACCUCACAAACGGUAACUGAGGUGUGCAAAGGUUCUCUCAGCCUGGACGGAAAUCAGGCAUUGAGUGCAAAGGCAGAAGAGAGCUUGACUGCAAGACCUACAAGUCGAGCAGGGGCGAAAGCCGGUCUUAGUGAUCCGACGGUGCCGCGUGGAAGGGCCGUCGCUCAACGGAUAAAAGUUACUCUAGGGAUAACAGGCUGAUCUUCCCCAAGAGUCCAUAUCGACGGGAAGGUUUGGCACCUCGAUGUCGGCUCAUCCUAGCUCAGGGCUGUAGUAGGUCCUAAGAGUUGGGCUGUUCGCCCAUUAAAAGGGUACGUGAGCUGGGUUCAAAACGUCGUGAGACAGUUCGGUCCAUAUCCG
rnacentral:rRNA from 1 species